rnacentral:rRNA from 1 species
CGUUAGCGGCGACGGGUGAGCAACACGUGGGUAACCUACCUAUAAGACUGGGAUAACUUCGGGAAACCGGAGCUAAUACCGGAUAAUAUUUCGAACCGCAUGGUUCGAUAGUGAGAGANGGUUUUGCUAUCACUUAUAGAUGGACCCGCGCCGUAUUAGCUAGUUGGUAAGGUAACGGCUUACCAAGGCGACGAUACGUAGCCGACCUGAGAGGGUGAUCGGCCACACUGGAACUGAGACACGGUCCAGACUCCUACGGGAGGCAGCAGCC